AUGAGCUGUGGAAGGACAUUCACAUUCACGACCGAAGGCGAGAUCUACGACGGGGGCUUAGUUCCUACCAAUCAUUGUGUCCUACUGAUAGGAUCGGGAGUGUUGAAUUAUCCUGGCAACCCAGCCAGGACCAAGACCAAUAAGUACUCACGGAAGAGCUGGCCUUUGAACCCUAUUGGUAAACCGGGACCCCGUGUUUGCUUGGGAGCAAGGGGAUAUGGAUUUCACAAGCCUUCGGAAUAUCCAGUGUAA
rnacentral:rRNA from 1 species